UACAGAGGUCUCAAGCGUUGUUCGGAUUCAUUGGGCGUAAAGGGUGCGUAGGCGGCGCGGUAAGUCGGGUGUGAAAUCUCGGAGCUUAACUUCGAAACUGCAUUCGAUACUGCCGUGCUUGAGGACUGGAGAGGAGACUGGAAUUUACGGUGUAGCGGUGAAAUGCGUAGAUAUCGUAAGGAAGACCAGUGGCGAAGGCGGGUCUCUGGACAGUUCCUGACGCUGAGGCACGAAGGUCAGGGGAGCAAAC
rnacentral:rRNA from 1 species